CGGGAGGAGAGAAGCAUGGCUCGGUUACCGCUAGCUUGACGCUAACGUGUGAACCACGUGUCGAGGUCUCCCUCAAAACCGUCGUGUUUCUCGACAGGUUCCUCCUGAAGCAGCAGCUCGACAUGACGUGACUGUUCACGGCUUUCUGUGGAGGAUGCAGGAACUGGAGCACGUGGAAGAGUGGGACGUGAAGAUGACGUCACCUACAGAUGACCCUCAUGAGAACGUCUCACUGAAAGGAAUCGUCUUGGUUUGAAUCUGGAGUCCACGCUGAUGCAGCAGUUUGUCAGACUGUCGUUGAUUACUCCAGAGUUGAGAUUGUUUGUGUGAUGUCAUUGGAAUGAAAUAAAACACUUGGC
rnacentral:lncRNA from 1 species